UAGGGCUAUAGUUCAAUGGUAGAAUAGCGGUCUCCAAAACCGUUGAUGGCGGUUCGAAUCCGUCUGGCCCUGU
rnacentral:tRNA from 1 species